AUACUUACCUGGACGAGGUCAAUAGAUGAUCAUGAAGGUUUAUGACCUAGGGUAGUGACUUUCAUUGCACUUGGAAGGGGUUCUCCUCUUAGGUUUGUCCUAGUGACAAACCCUACGUCAUAAUUUGUGGUAGUGGGGUUUGCAUUCGCGCAACCCCUUC